ACUUUAUGGGUUUUAUAAUGCAAAACAAUUUUGAACCGAACCCGAAGUGUUAUUAUCCGAACCCGACCCGUACUAAUAAAAUUUUAGUAUGGGACCUAGAAACGUAAACCCGAAAAUCUGAAAGCCCGAAAAAUCUGAUCCGAAUGCCAACGGGUACCCGAACGCCCAGGCCUAGCGAUAUUGAUUUGAAUAAAAAAACAUUUUCGACCACCCUGUUCUUUUACAGACUUGAUGGGCCAGGUUAUUAAUUUGGGAGGGCUAAAAACAAUUCAUUGUUCAUGCAAACCAAGGAUGAAACCUGAGUUUACUCUUGAAGACAUCAAAACAUUAAAAUCAAUUCCAUAAGAACAAUCAAGUUCCUCAUUUAUAAGACAACUCAAUACUGUAUUAGUACAAGAGUUAUAUGUGUAUUGUAAGGUUUUGUAUUGACUGUGCCUAAUAUCUUUCAUCAUUUUACAAUUGUAAUUAUUUUUCUAUUGUGACAGACAAUAACAAAUUCAAAGCAA